GGUUAAGCGACUAAGCGUACACGGUGGAUGCCCUGGCAGUCAGAGGCGAUGAAGGACGUGCUAAUCUGCGAAAAGCGCCGGCGAGGUGAUAUGAACCUUUGACCCGGCGAUGUCCGAAUGGGGAAACCCAGUGUGWUYCGWCACACUAUCGUUAACUGAAUACAUAGGUUAACGAGGCGAACCGGGGGAACUGAAACAUCUAAGUACCCCGAGGAAAAGAAAUCAACCGAGAUUCCCCCAGUAGCGGCGAGCGAACGGGGAGCAGCCCAGAGUCUGAAUCAGCUUGUGUGUUAGUGGAACGGUCUGGAAAGUCCGACGGUACAGGGUGAUAGUCCCGUACACGAAAAYACACAGGUUGUGAACUCGAAGAGUAGGGCGGGACACGUGGUAUCCUGUCUGAAUAUGGGGGGACCAUCCUCCAAGGCUAAAUACUCCUGACUGACCGAUAGUGAACCAGUACCGUGAGGGAAAGGCGAAAAGAACCCC
rnacentral:rRNA from 1 species